rnacentral:tRNA from 14 species
GGAGCCGUAGUUAAGCUGGUUAUAACGCCGGCCUGUCACGCCGGAGGCCGCGAGUUCGAGUCUCGUCGGCUCCGCCA